rnacentral:lncRNA from 1 species
GGAAGCCUGGGGUAGGCCCUGCUGUUUUUCUAACUCGAGUUCAAUCCUACACUGCCGUCUCAACCAAAACAAGGCGCAAGAAUAUCCCCCUCCUUGACGGCAAAUAACCGAGGGUUUCCGUCACCAUUGGAUUUGAGUUUUUGUGUUUGGACUUAAAACGCUGCAACCUUCCCAACUUAAAGAAGGCUACAGUGCUGUUUGGGGAUUCAGAACUGAGGAAAAACUUCCCUGGAGAUCCCACAUACACGCUGUUUCCAGUGAUCUCAGUGUCUAGGCUUCAAACCACCUCACGUCACACUCAUCUGUGUUGUUCUCUCACUAGGAGGAAAAGAGUGCCAGCGGUUGGCUCUUCGCCAUUUCUCUGAAAGACCAGACCAACAGCCGCAGCAACUCCACUAGGAGGCCCCCUGCCAGCUGCGUCGUGAGGCCCUGCCAGUGGAAAGCAGUAUUGCUAAGACAUUUUCCUGUCUGCAGACUGCUGGAUGUUCACGCUAACAAAGGGCGCUUUUGUGAGAUCCAGGCACAGGGGCUUGAGGUUGACUGCUGGCCCACAGAAGGGACUCUAACCCUGGGAAAUCAAGGUGUGGUGACACAAAGUGUCCUGGAAGGAACAAAAAUGACCUUUACUUGGUGAUUAUCAUGUUUAGGAUGGAUAAUCAGCACAGAGAUUAGGGAUGGCCAUGGGUACUUGGAAAUAACAAUAGUGAUUGAGAACUAUACACAUUUUUAAAUGGAGCAUUUCGUGAUUUUUCACAAAUAAAGGUGUAGGAUUUACUUUGCAAUUAUUUUUACUCAGAAAUUACUAGUAAAUUUUGCAAAAAAAAUACUAUGAACUGCAAGUAGCCCACUGAAUUAAACAAAAUUUUGAAGUAGAAAGACUGAAAUAGUAUUUACUUGUAAAACUUGGUUGAUUUUAUCGGUUGCGUACUCAAGUAGUCAAAAUGACCUGAUACAGUUUAACGUAUUCCUCGUGUUAUGAGAGGAAAUAGUCUUUGGCACAAACUCGAAUCUUUAAUGAAUUCUUACGAAACAGAAUGUUCACAAAGGAAAAUAUAUUUCAUUACUAGAGAGUGCUGUUUCUUUUUUUUUAUUUAACACUUAUCAAUGGUGAUAUUGUGCAUGAAGGAGUCUCUCAUUUGUAGUAAUGCCCUCACUACUGCUGUCUUCUGGGUU